rnacentral:rRNA from 1 species
GAUGACCGCUGGCGGCGUUCCUAAUACAUGCAAGUCGAGCGAAGCGGGGACGGGUGAGUAACACGUGGAUAACCUCCUAUACGACUGGGCUAACUUCGGGAAACCGUAGCUAAACGGGAUACAUAUCGCUUGUUCCGCGCUGCAUUAUCUAGUUGGUAAGGUAAAGGCUUACCAAGGCUAGGAUGCAUAGCCGACCUGAUAGGAUGAUCGUCCAGACUGGAACUGAGACACGGUCCAGACUCCGACGGGAGGCAGCAGUAGGGAAUUUUCCGCAAUGGGCGAAAGCCUGACGGAGCCACGCCGCGUGAGUGAAGAAGGUCUUCGGAUCGUAAAACUCUGUUAUUAGGGAAGCGGUACCUAAUCAAAAAGCCACGGCUAACUACGUGCCAGCAGCCGCGGUAAUUC